rnacentral:lncRNA from 10 species
GUGCAAAGAGAGAAGGCAGGGCAAGGCAAUUAGGUGGAAGCCCCAAUGCAAAGGGCCAAAGAUGACUUUUAUUCUGAGCUGCCCCUUUGCUUUAGCCAGGAAAAGCUAAAGCUUACUGAUUAACUCAGAAACUUCUCCAGGGUGGCUAGACUGGAGCAUGUGGGUGGAAUUAAAUAGAGGAUUUCUGGGCAAAAUGAAAGUGGGGAGGAAAAAUGAAAGGACAGCUGUUGAUAGGAAACUAUAAUACUAACAUAGACUCAGACUUCUGGAAAGAGGAGUUAGAAGAAUGCAGUGUGAAUCAAUCAGUGACAACUACCAAAUCAGAGGAAAAGCAGAACCAUCUCAUGAACACAGUGACUGUCUCGCGAACACAGUGGUUCUCAACGUGCAGAAAAUGUUGAAACUCGCUGUGAAACCUGGGGAGCCAGCACAUCCCGUGGGGUAUACAAAGGGGAUAUGUAUAGAAGUCUAUGAAAGGUGGCCAGUGGGCCCAGAUUUGCUGCUGGCCAGCAGGUCCACCUGAUGGGAAAGUGAACUCGAUAUGAGCAGGGAGAGCAAGCUGGAACCAUCAGCACUUGCAUUUCUGCGUCUCACCUCAUCCAACCAAGACGACCCUCAGAGAGUUAAUGACUGCUGCUUCACCCCACCUUCCAUGUCUCCGACAAAUUCUGCUUUGGACCAUCUCUAAUCAACAUCAUACAGGGAAAAAGCAACUUGAAUAUCAUAUAGUUUACUUAUUUAAUAUGUUGUCAGAUAUUGUGUUAUAGAAAAUAGGCACCUCCCAGGUGAGAAAUCUGCCUGGAUAUUGAUUGAUAUUUAUUCAAUCAUAAGUCCAAACCAUUGAGAAUAGUGACUGGCACAACAGUAUGUGCCCUGUAACUAUUAGUUGAAAAAAAAAGGAAGAAAAAAAAGAAGGAAUUUAGAAAGGAAGAAUUGAGUAAGAAGAUAUAUUUGUUUCUCUAAGUCCUAAAAUUCAGGACCUUUGGAAAUUGCCUUAACUUUGCAAAUGUACUGGAAGUGCAUUUUUGUGCAUAGAAAACACAGUAGAUUGCAUUUUAAUAACUUGAGGAAAUUCCAUCUGCUUUCAGAUGUUUCUGUUUUUAUGCAGAGACUAAUGGUAAAUUCAGUGGAACUCACUUUGACAUUAAUGAGGACUUGCAAUGUGUCAAGCAUUGAGCUGGAUUUGUAGAUAUUUAAAAGUGUAAAAGCAUCUUUCAAAUUAGAG